rnacentral:rRNA from 1 species
CCUACGGGAGGCAGCAGUGAGGAAUAUUGGUCAAUGGGCGAGAGUCUGAACCAGCCAAGUAGCGUGAAGGAUGACUGCCCUAUGGGUUGUAAACUUCUUUUAUAUAGGAAUAAAAUGUUGCACGUGUGCCUUUUUUUAUGUACUUUAUGAAUACGGAUCGGCUAACUCCGUGCCAGCAGCCGCGGUAAUACGGAGGAUCCGAGCGUUAUCCGUAUUUAUUGGGUUUAAAGGGAGCGUAGAUGGGUUGUUAAGUCAGUUGUGAAAGUUUGCGGCUCAACCGUAAAAUUGCAAUUGAUACUGGCAGCCUUGAGUACAGUUGAGGUAGGCGGAAUUCGUGGUGUAGCGGUGAAAUGCUUAGAUAUCACGAAGAACUCCGAUUGCGAAGGCAGCUCACUAAACUGCAACUGACACUGAUGCUCGAAAGUGUGGGUAUCAAACAGGAUUAGAUACCCUAGUAGUC